GGCCCACAGACUGGUAUUUUGCCAUAACAUCCCACUCCACGAGAGCUCUCAGACUGGAUGCAUAGGUCCAAAUUGAGAGUGUGUGAAAGCCUGAAGACGGAUCGGUAAAGAAGAUAAUGUGGGCUCAGGUUCUCUCCAACAAAGAGGAAAUUUGAAAAUGGUUUUCCUUGAUGUCAGGCUACUGAGUGGAAGGUGAGAACUGAGUUAUUUCCCUGGGGACGAAGACAGUGAAGGAAUGCAAGGCUCAUCAUUUCUCUUCUUUCCAGAGAGACCACAUGAGAAUGAGAUGAGCAGAUGACCAUCCCUACACAUAGGGGUGAUCUAAAAACCACCAUUACCUCUAUCACAGAAUUACAGAGUCACAGAGUCACAGAGUCACAGAGUCACAGAAUCAAAGAAUGGUUGAGAUUGGAAGAGAACUCUGGAGGUCAACACCCCUUUUUAGGCAAGACCACCUACAGCAGGUGCUCAGGACCAUGUCCAGAAGGCUCUUGAAGAUCUCCAAGGAGACUUCACAACCUCUCUGGGCAACCUGUGCCAGUGCUUCGUCACCCACAUAAUAAAGAAGUGCUUCCUGAUGUUGAGACA
rnacentral:lncRNA from 1 species